UACAGAGGUCUCAAGCGUUGUUCGGAAUCAUUGGGCGUAAAGGGUGUGUAGGUGGCUAUGUAAGUCAGGUGUGAAAGCCCCGGGCUCAACCCGGGAAGUGCAUCUGAUACUGCGUAGCUUGAGUACCGAAGAGGAUAGUGGAAUUCCAGGUGUAGUGGUGAAAUACGUAGAUAUCUGGAGGAACACCGGUGGCGAAGGCGGCUAUCUGGUCGAGUACUGACACUGAGACACGAAAGCAUGGGGAUCAAACAGG
rnacentral:rRNA from 1 species